GAUCAUGGCUCAGGAUGAACGCUGGCGGCGUGCCUAACACAUGCAAGUCGAACGGAGAUCUUAAGGGAUGCGACUUCGGUCAAAUGACUUUUGAACUUAGUGGCGGACGGGUGAGUAACGCGUGAGCAACCUGCCUUUCAGAGGGGGAUAACAUUUGGAAACAGAUGCUAAUACCGCAUAAGAUUACAGUACCGCAUGAUACAGUGAUCAAAGGAGCAAUCCGCUGAAAG
rnacentral:rRNA from 1 species